ACGGGGACUCCGAGUUCAACUAGAACUCGGAGACUUCCCCUUAUUAAUCCCCAUCCUCCUCCUUAGAUCUCCGCUAUCGGAAUCGUCAAGAGUAGCUGCUGAUUUCAAGCCCUCUUUCCAGGCUUUCUUCCUCGAUUCCUCGCCAGGAAAGGUCGUCGGAGAGCCUCGCCGGACCUAGUAAGCGGUUUAGGGCAGUCCAGUUCCGUUCAAGCGCUCCUUCAAGCGAGAAGCUAGCUCUAAAGUCAACAGGUGCAGGCUGACUGGGAGAGGCAGACGACUGGGCGAACUGUUCUAUCGCAGGAAUAUGUAGAAUGCUCGGGUCCCCACGGGAGUACGUCUGCAACGGAGCUGAUGGUCUGGCGGCAUCGACAGAGGGAUCUAUGGCAUCUGAGACGGCUGAUGGCAAGGUAGGCGGGGCAGCCUCUGAUGCUGAUGAGUCGUUCUUUUACCAUCAAUCAUGCGAAAGUUUACCAACUUCUUGGUCAAUUGUUUUUGCUCACCAUCCAAGUCCCCCAUAUAGCUGAGAAUUUUCGAGCAAUUGGAAGCCGCUUUCGAUGA